rnacentral:lncRNA from 1 species
UGCCUUUUUCUAUUUUUACCAGGUCUAAAAAACAAACAGAAAAGAACAAUAAGUAGGAAAAAAAAACCCAAAACAAAAACAAAGGAAACAAAUAACAACCCCCAAAGCCUUAACACCAGGCCCAUGCCUC